rnacentral:rRNA from 1 species
UACGGAGGAUGCGAGCGUUAUCCGGAUUUAUUGGGGCGUAAAGCGUCCGCAGCCGGUUUUGUAAGUCUAGAAUAAAAGCCUGGGGCUCAACCCCAGUUCGUUCUAGAAACUGCUAGACUCGAGUGUGGUAGAGGCAAAUGGAAUUUCUAGUGCAGCGGUAAAAUGCGUAGAUAUUAGAAGGAACACCAGUGGCGAAGGCGAUUUGCUGGGCCAUAACUGACGGUCAGGGACGAAAGCGUGGGGAGCAAAU